rnacentral:piRNA from 1 species
UUUUGACGUAAAAUCCACAAA